rnacentral:rRNA from 1 species
AAAGGAAUAGACGGGGGCCCGCACAAGCAGAGGAGCAUGUGGCUUAAUUCGAUGCAACGCGAAGAACCUUACCCGGGCUUGACAUGCGGCUGCACGGCUCAUGAAAGUGAGCCCCCUUCGAGGGUGCCGCACAGGUGCUGCAUGGCUGUCGUCAGUUCGUGCCGUGAGGUGUUUGGUUAAGUCCAGCAACGAACGCAACCCCUGUGCCGUGUUGCCAUCGCGUAAUGGCGGGGACUCGCGGCAGACUGCCCGUUCACGCGGGAGGAAGGUGGGGACGACGUCAAGUCAGUAUGGCCCUUACGCCCGGGGCCGCACACGUGCUACAAUGGCGGGCACAGAGGGAAGCGAGGCCGCGAGGCGGAGCCAACCCCCAAAACCCGCCCCAGUUCGGAUCGGUGUCUGCAACCCGACACCGUGAAGCCGGAUUUGCUAGUAACGGCGCAUCAGCCACGGCGCCGUGAAUACGUUCCCGGGCCUUGUACACACCGCCCGU